AUUGAACGCUGGCGGCAGGCCUAACACAUGCACGUCGGGCGAGCGGCGUACGGGUGAGUAAUGUAUGGGGAUCUUCCUGCUGGCGGGGGCUAACUACUGGACACGGUAGCUAAUUACGCCUACCAUCGGAUGAACCGUUAUGUGAUUAGCGAGGAGGGGAGGUAACGGCGUACCUAGGCGACGAUCCCUAGCGGGUCGUAGAGGAUGAUCAGCCACACUGGAACGGAGACACGGCCCAGACUCAUACGGGAGUCAGCAGUGGGGAAUAUUGCACAAUGGGCGCAAGCCUGAGGCAGCCAUGCCGCGUGUAUGAAGAAGGCCUUCGGGUUGUAAAGUACUUUCAGCCGGGAGGCGUUACCGACAGAAGAAGCACCGGCUAACUCCGUGCCAGCAGCCGCGGUAAUUC
rnacentral:rRNA from 1 species